rnacentral:lncRNA from 1 species
UCCUCCCAAGGUGCAGGAAUCUACUUGAAUUGCAGAAGACUUUGGAGAAGAUCAAACUCAUGCCUGGGCCGUUUGAUGGCUGGGUUGGCAAACUAGAGCAGCUGCAGGAUUGUGUCAGGGAGAGUGAUCUUCAGGCACACACUUCUGCAGAAGAGAGCAGCUGAGCCUGGCACGAACCCUCGGAGUCAGUCAUCUCCCAUCGACCUGUUAUCGA